UCCUUUAGAAUGUGUAGUGAGGUCUGGUCCUUGAGAAAGCGUGAGUAAUCCCUUCUUUAUUUCAGGGCUGUGAUCUCCCCCGUUUUUGGGGCAUCCUGAUCAUACAAGUGCUGGCAGCUGUAAGGGCAGCAUUUAUCUCUAGAGACUCCUCCUGUGGAGUGUGGGUCAAUGGGGUUCGAGGAUUGCCGGAGUUUUGUCUAAUCAGUGGUGUAAGCGCUGUGAAAUCUGCAGAGAGUGUAAUGGAACAUCACUAGCCCCAUGUUUGCUUGUAUGCAGGUAUUGAAAGGCUGUUACCAGGUCACCUCAGAGCCUUCACUUCUUCAGGCUGAACAGCCCCAACUCUCUCUCUUUAUAGGAAAGGCAUUCCAUCCCUUGGUUCAUAUUUGUGGCCAUUCUCUGGAUGUGCUCCAACAGCUCUAUGUCUGUCCUACACUGCAGCCAUCCAAAUCCAGACACAGCACUCCAGGCGAGGCCUCACCAGGGUAGAGCAGAGGGGCAGAAUCUCCUCCCUUCGCCUACUGACCACGCAUCUUUGGAUGGAACCCAGCAUACAGUUGCUUUCUGGGCUGGGAAGGCACGUUGCUGAGUGCCCACUACUCAGCCUGUUGAGGUCCCUCUGGAUGGUGUCCCAUCCCUCCGGUGUGUCACUGCACCCCACAGCUUGGUGUCAUUAGGGUGCACUUGACCCCCACUGUCAAUGUCACUGAUGAAGAGGCAAUCCCAGAUGUUUAUACAAACUCGGCAAAGAACCCCUUGAGAGCAGCCCUGCAGAGAAGGACUCGUGGAUCCCAGUGGAUAAGAAGCUGGAUGUGAGCUUGCAUCCUGGAAAGACAACUAUAUCCUGGGCUGCGUUAAAAGAAGAACGGCCAGCAGAGAGAGGCAGGUGAUUUUUUCCCCCUCUACUCAGCUCUUGUGAGGCACCAUCUGCAGUACUGCGUCCAGGCCUGGGACCCCCAGCACAGGAAGGUCUUGGAACUCUCGGAGCGGGUCCUGAGGAGGGCACUAAGAUGAUCAGAGGGCUGGAGCACCUCUCCUAUGAGGAAAGGUUGAGGGAGCUGGGCUUGUUUAGACUGGAGAAGAGAAGGCUCUGGAGAGACCUCAUUGUGGCCUUCCAGUACUUGAGGGAGUGGAUAAACAGGAGGGGAAACAGCUGUUUAUAAGGGUGGAUCGUGAUAGGACAAGGGGGAAUGGUUUUAAACUAAGACAGAAGAAGUUUAGGCUAGAUAUUAGGAGGGAGUUUUUCACUCAGAGUGGUGAUGCACUGGAACAUGUGCUUUAGAGUCACUUCCAGGAGGAUCUGCUCUGCGAUCGUUCACAGUACAGAGGUGAGACUGACACGUUGGUAGUUCCCAGGGUCAUCCUUUUUAUCUGUAAUAACAGAUGUGCUGUCGCCUCUUUUCUACUCACCAGGGAUUUCACCUGACUGCCACAACUUCUCAAAUACCAUUGAGAAUGGCUUGUUUACCGCAUCAGCGAAUACCCUCGU
rnacentral:lncRNA from 1 species